ensembl:lncRNA
AUAUGCAUAGAUGCGUGCAAUCAAUUGAAACUUUAACAGUGUGCUUAACUCAAAUACACAAUAACAUACUGGGUCUCAAACAACUGAUGUUGUGGCUGAGGCAGGUGCAAGCGAUCAGGGGAUUGUGAAGGUGAUUGAGGCUAUAGCGGAGGUGUGUGAGUUGAAAGUCGAAAAAAGGGGCGCGGCUGGAGCUGGGUUCGGAGCAGACAUGACAGCAAUAUACAGUAAUGGGUUAAUAAAACUAAGGGGACGAAACAAUUGAGGUAGAUCACUUCCGUUUUAAAACCGAAAGGUAAUCGCAGCUCGGAAUCGCUCAGAUUUCGUUGUAUCUGAAUUACUUCUUACAUGCGCCUGUUUUCCAAAGAACUUUUGUGAAAAUGCCAUCAACGCUGUCCACUAGCAAAGGCCUUAUGGUUGUCACAAAGAUCGUUCCAUUGGAGGAUCACUGUGACAUCCCCAUCACAAAUGUUGUCAAUUCAGAAUCUAAAAAGCCGACCACGCAGAAUGAAAAACUGCCUGAAAUGACCCGUCUCUUUCAAAAAGGCUAUCCCAUGCCACUUGGAAUUGUGCAGAUAUUCCUUGGAAUGAUGACUCUGGCCCUUGGUGUGCUUGUUAUCCUCUCAUCUGAAUUCUUUGGGGAGGUCCCGCUGGGUCUUGGAAUAUUUUUUAUGAUAUCAGGAUCAAUAUCUGCAGCAGCACAUGAAGGAAAGCGCAUUUGUCUGAUUAAAGGAACUUUGGCCAUGAACAUCAUCAGUUCUCUGGUUGCACUAGCUGGCAUUGGAUACUUUUGCAUGGAACUGGCCAAACAGCCUGAGGAAUGCAAAAGGGAAGAAUGGGAUCAGAAUUAUAGAUACUGGCAAUGCAUGGCAUCUGUCAAUCAAUACAAGGCCGUGGUCAAUGGAGUGAAAGGAUUACUGUUGGUCAUGGCGGUGUUCCAGUUCUGUGUUUCCACCACAAUCUCUGUCUUCUCUGCAAAAGCCAUCAGACAAGAUUCUGCUGAUCAACUGGGGGGUACCGUUCGUUUCGACAUCACUGGAACCGGUGCUGACGAAAGCAGUACUGUUCCUCUGCUACCUUAGGAGGAAGUCACCGCUCCUACAUCACCUUAAAGGAGGGGAGGGGGGCCAUCAGCACACCACACAGCACUUAUCGUGAUAUUUGUCAAUGAACUGAAAGUGAAGUAAAUUUCCUAUGCACAUAUGUGUACAUUUAAUAUGCACAUUGAUAGAGAAAUGUGAAACUCUGACUUUAAUCAAGUAUGUAUGGGUGUUAAUCAUAUGCCUUUGUGAGCUGAAACAUGACAUUUUUGUCUCUGUAUGUCUUUGAUUCUUAAGUGCUGACGUUUCAAACGCUGUAUGUGUGCUUAAAAGUGUUCCCUCUGUGUGUGCGUAAGCGAGGGCUGAGAACUACUAGUCCUUCUUUUUUGCCUUGCUGAUGCAUUACGUUGCAAAAAGCAUAGCAAGAUGACCUCGGAGGUGGCAAACCCACCAUGUGGUUAUCUCAGUUGACAUAAUGCUUUGGCGUCAGAGAAACACUAAUCUCAACCUAUAUAAACCUUGUGUGUUGUGUUUAAUUUAGCUUCUCUCUCGUCUGCUGCAGUCUGGGAGUGAGCCCGGGCUCUCUCUUUCGUCCUCCAAGAUGAGAGUGAGCCUGUGCUUUUCUCUUGUCUGCCAAGACCUGAGUGAGCCCGAUAUGAUAAAAAGAUACUUAUACAAGACUCUGGAGUCCGAGGUAAACUUGAGUGUGAAUUUUCACCUAACACACAUAUUCCUGUUAAACUUGUAAGCACACAUUCUAAACUUUGCCUUUUUGUUAGUCUACCAUUAGAGCAUUGUGUAUUUUGUUAAGGUAGCUGAUGUAUUUUACUAAUUAUACUAAUAAAUAGUGCCUUUUUCUGAUCACUCAAUGAUGUUUUUCUAAACAAAGCUUGGGAGGAGGCCAUAGGGAUAAUCGUCAACUGUCACUCACCCCACUUCUGCAUUCAUGUAUACCUGCUUUCUGGUGUUGCAUUACCACUUAUCAGGUGUGGAAAAGUUACUUUUGAGAUAAAAUAGGUUAUAGAUUACUAGUUACACUGUUAAAAAGGUAAUGAGUAAUGUUACUAUUUUAAUUACUUUAUCAAAGUAAUGUAACUUAUUACAUUUGAUUACUUCCGGUCACUUUUUGAUUGGCAGAGGAGAGGCAGUGCAAAUUCAAACAAGAGAAUCUAUCAAAAACAACACAAAAAAUGUGAGGCCUAACCGGAUGCCAAAUCAUUGGGGCGAAAAGAUGCAAAGCAACAGAAUGAAUGUUAUAGUCCACAGAUGAGCUUUAUAGAUUUUUACUGAAAAUAAUAUAUUUGGAUGUGACUCCUUUGUAAUCACCAAAAUUGAUAUUAGUAACUGUAAUUUUGUACAGUUGUAACGGAUUAAAAUUACUUUUUUGUCAUUUAAUUAACUCUGUUACAUGAAACUAGUUACUCUCCAACCCCUCCCCUUAUCCAUGGGGGAUGUGAACGGACAUUGCAAACGCGUGAUCUCCCUUAUAUGCUUCCCAGGACCACGACCAGCUACCAAACCAAACAUGGUUAUUAACCGUGCAAAUUAAACAUUCCGAUGGGCAUACUAGGGAACCCAUCAGAAGUGAGGUUCCAACGAGGAUGUGCCCUCACUUCUCAACAUGAAUGUAUUACUGAGAAAUAAAGUUGCUGUCAUUGUAACAUUUUCAGUCCAACCAAUGACAAGAGUUUAGCAGCAGACAACGCUGAGAGAAAAGUGAGUAGAAUGUAUAUUAUUUUCAUUUUUACUCGUAGAUUUUAAGUUCAGGUCUCAUUCUUCUGCGUGCUGGGAUAAUGCUAUCACAGUAAGCCUGGUCUAGAACACACACACACACACACACACUGGGUGGAUAGAUAUCCUGCCGAUCAGCAGACAUUUCUCAGAGAAAUGUUAGAUGCUGGUGAAAAUAAUGUUGGGUCACCUUCAAUUCAGUUGAAUUCUAUCGUAUUCAUUUUAUAUAGCGCCGAUAACUAUUGAAAAUGUCUGAAAGGCCUGAACAUGUAAUGCCCAGCAAAAACGUUAGUGUGUACAGAAGCAUUUCCAAUAAGAUGUCAGAACCACAGAUGCCACAUUUGGAAGGCAUCUGGAAAGGAUUGAUUUCCUGGAAAAUAGUGCUUCCAGGUUACAGAAUUGUCCUAUAAUGGCUACAUAAUUGUCUGUCACAUCUGUGUCUUACUGAUGUAUAUCUGACAGAAACGGUGCUGAGUCAUGUCUCCUUCUUGCAUGUCUGCUACACCAGUUCAUUGUUUGUUUGCAAGUCUGUGACUGUAACAUUUUGCAUUACUGGUGGUCAUAUCAAAGUCCAAUUCAUGUUGCUCUGAAUUAAAAAUAACAUAAUAACUAAAAAAUGUAGGGAACAGUCACAUGUGAUCUGAUUUACCAA